ACUACUCUAAGUAGCUUAAACCAUUAAAAGCAUUG
rnacentral:tRNA from 1 species